UAAUAUAUUGAAACUGCGAACGGCUCAUUAAAACAGUUAUAAUCUACUUGAUGUUUUUAAUAUAAGGAUAACUACGGAAAAUCUGUAGCUAAUACUUGUGAAAAUACCUUUUGAUAUAUACAUAUGUAUGUAUCAUUAAGGUAUGUAUUUGUUAGAUAUAAGAAUAAAAUAAAUAUAAUUGAAUUAUAACAAAGAAGAAACACAUAAAAUAUGUGUAUUAUCAAUCGAGUAUCUGACCUAUCAGCUUUUGAUGUUAGGGUAUUGACCUAACAUGGCUAUGACGGGUAACGGGGAAUUAGAGUUCGAUUCCGGAGAGGGAGCCUGAGAAAUAGCUACCACAUCUAAGGAAGGCAGCAGGCGCGUAAAUUACCCAAUUCUAAAAAAGAGAGGUAGUGACAAGAAAUAACAAUACAAUAUCGAAAAAUGAUUUUGUAAUUGGAAUGAUAGGAAUUUACAAGGUUCCUAGAGAAACAAUUGGAGGGCAAGUCUGGUGCCAGCAGCCGCGGUAAUUCCAGCUCCAAUAGCAUAUAUUAAAAUUGUUGCAGUUAAAACGUUCGUAGUUGAAUAUUAAAGAAUCCGAUGUUUCAUUUAAACUGGUUUGGGAAAACCAAAUAUAUUAUAUAUUUUGCUUUGUUCAAAAUAAGGUUUUCUAAUAAAUUAUGUUUUUAUCAGAUAUGACAGAAUCUUUUUUAAAAUCUCUUCAAUAUGCUUUUAUUGCUUUUGAGAGGUUUUGUUACUUUGAGUAAAAUUAAGUGUUCAUAACAGACGGGUAGUCAUGAUUGAGUUCAUUGUGUUUGAAUACUACAGCAUGGAAUAACAAAUAUGAAUAAGCUAAUUAUUUUUUUUUUUUCAUUAUUUUUUUUGAUAUUCUUAUUAGCUUAGUUACGAUUAAUAGGAGUAGCUUUGGGGGCAUUCGUAUUCAGAUGUCAGAGGUGAAAUUCUAAGAUUUUCUGGAGACGGACUACUGCGAAAGCAUUUGCCUAAUCUAUUUCCAUUAAUCAAGAACGAAAGUUAAGGGAGUGAAGACGAUCAGAUACCGUCGUAAUCUUAACCAUAAACUAUACCGACUAGGUGUUGGAUGAAUAUAAAAAAUAUAUAAAUAUGUAGCAUUUCUUAGGGAAUGUUGAUUUUAUAUUAGAAUUGCUUCCUUCAGUACCUUAUGAGAAAUCAAAGUCUUUGGGUUCUGGGGCGAGUAUUCGCGCAAGCGAGAAAGUUAAAAGAAUUGACGGAAGGGCACCACCAGGCGUGGAGCUUGCGGCUUAAUUUGACUCAACACGGGAAAACUCACUAGUUUAAGACAAGAGUAGGAUUGACAGAUUAAUAGCUCUUUCUUGAUUUCUUGGAUGGUGAUGCAUGGCCGUUUUUAGUUCGUGAAUAUGAUUUGUCUGGUUAAUUCCGAUAACGAACGAGAUCUUAACCUGCUAAUUAGCGGUAAGUACACUAUAUUUUUAUUUGAAAUUGAAUAUAGGUAAUUAUACAUGUUUAUUCAGUGUUCAAAUUAGGAUAUUUUUUUAUUAAAAUAUUCUUUUCCCUGUUCUACUAUAAUAAUUUGUUUUUUUUUACUCUAUUUCUCUCUUCUUUUAAGAAUGUACUUGUUUGAUUAAAUAAAGCUUCUUAGAGGAACAGUGUGUAUCUAACACAAGGAAGUUUAAGGCAACAACAGGUCUGUGAUGUCCUUAGAUAAACUAGGCUGCACGCGUGCUACAAUGAUAUAUAUAACAAGUUGUUAAAAAUGUACUUAUAAAUAAGUGUGUACAGUUUUUCCUGUACUGAAAAGUAUAGGUAAUCUUUAUCAGUAUAUAUCGUAAUUGGGAUAGAUUAUUGCAAUUAUUAAUCUUGAACGAGGAAUGCCUAGUAAGCAUGAUUCAUUAGAUUGUGCUGACUACGUCCCUGCCCUUUGUACACACCGCCCGUCGCUCCUACCGAUUGAAAGAUAUGAUAAAUUGUUUGGAUAUGAAUUAAAAUAAUGAAAUUUUAUAUUUCUGAUUUUUUCUAGAAGAACUGUAAAUCCUAUCUUUUAAAGGAAGGAGAAGUCGUAACAAGGUUUCCGUAGGUGAACCUGCGGAAGGAUCAUUA
rnacentral:rRNA from 1 species